ACAAGUAAUUAAGAGCAACAGGCGGAUGCCUGGGCGCUGAACGGCGAAGAAAGACGUGGUAAGCUGCGAUAAGCCUCGGGGAGGAGCUAAACAUCCUUUGAUCCGUGGAUGUCUGAAUGGGGAAACCCGCCGGGAGUAAUGUUCCGGCAUCUCCACAUGAAAAGAUAGUGUGGAAGAAGCUGACCCAGGGAAGUGAAACAUCUCAGUACCUGGAGGAAAGGAAAUCAAACGAGACUCCCAAAGUAGCGGCGAGCGAAAUGGGAAGAGCCCAAACCAUGUGGUUUCGACCAUGUGGGGUUGUAGGGCCGCCGGACGUGAUUCUGGAGUAGGCAGGAGAAGUCGGCUGGAAAGCCGCGCCGGAGCGAGUGAAAGCCUCGUAUCCGAAACCGAAAAGGACACAGGCGGUACCUGAGUACCGCGGGGCACGAGAAACCCCGUGGGAAUCCGGGAGGACCAUCUUCCAAGGCUAAGUACGAAUCAGCGACCGAUAGUGAACCAGUACCGUGAGGGAAAGGUGAAAAGAACCCCUGUCAGGGGAGUGAAAGAGAAUCUGAAACCUGUUGCUUACAAGCUGUGGGAGCCACAUGACGGUGGUGACCACGUGCCUUUUGCAUAAUGAGUCAGCGAGUUAAUCUGUCGUGCGAGGUUAAGCGAGAGCGGAGCCGUAGCGAAAGCGAGUCUGACAAGGGCGACAAGUACGGCGGAUUAGACCCGAAACCGGGUGAUCUAUCCAUGAGCAGGUUGAAGCAAGGGUAAAGCCUUGUGGAGGACCGAACCAGUAUCGGCUGAAAACGAUUUGGAUGACUUGUGGAUAGGGGUGAAAGGUCAAUCAAACCCGGUGAUAGCUGGUUCUCCCCGAAAUAUAUUGAGGUAUAGCCUCGGGGAUUGUCUGUCGGAGGUAAAGCACUGACAAGGCUAGGGGUCCUACCAGAUUACCAAACCUUUUCAAACUCAGAAUGCCGACAAGAUGUACCCCGGGAGUCAGACGGCGGGUGCUAAGGUCCGUCGUCGAGAGGGUAAGAGCCCAGAUCGACAGCUAAGGUCUCGAAAUCCAUGCUCAGUGGUGAAGGUGGUGGAGUUGUACAGACAGCCAGGACGUUGGCUUAGAAGCAGCCAUCGUUUAAAGAAAGCGUAAUAGCUCACUGGUCUAAUGACUCUGCGCCGAAAAUGUAACGGGGCUAAGCAUGGUACCGAAGCUUCGGAUUCCUCUUUUGAGGAGUGGUAGGGGAGCGUUCUCUAUGGGCAGAAGCUGCAUUGUAAAGUGCGGUGGACGGUAGAGAAGUGAUUAUGCUGACAUGAGUAACGAUAAAACAGGUGAAAAACCUGUUCGCCGAAAACCCAAGGUUUCCUGGGUAAAGUUAAUCUUCCCAGGGUGAGUCGGACCCUAAGGCGAGGGCGAAAGCCGUAGCUGAUGGAAAACGGGUUAAUAUUCCCGUACUUCUUGUGGUGUGCGAUGGAGGGACGCAGAAAGAUAGGUGGGCCAACUGUUGGAUGUUGGUGCAAGCUGGUAGGAAUGCCUCGCCGGCAAAUCCGCGAGGUGAAUCCGAGAAGCGAGUCCGUGGGCGCAAGCCCUGAAGCCAUUGAGUCUCCGCUGCCAAGAAAAGCUCCUAAGUUUAGCCAUGAGGAUCCGUACUGCAAACCAACUCAGGUGGGUGGGAUGAAUAAUCCGAGGCGCUCGAGAGAACUCUGGCCAAGGAACUCGGCAAAAUGACCCCGUAACUUCGGAAGAAGGGGUGCUUUUUCAGGUGACCAUUUUUACAUUGGAAGCCGGAGGAAGCCGCAGUGAAUUGGUGGUGGCGACUGUUUACUAAAAACAUAGGUCUGUGCGAAGUCGCAAGACGACGUAUACGGACUGACGCCUGCCCGGUGCCGGAAGGUUAAGAGGAGAGGUCAGCGCAAGCGAAGCCUUGAAUCGAAGCCCCGGUAAACGGCGGCCGUAACUAUAACGGUCCUAAGGUAGCGAAAUUCCUUGUCGGGUAAGUUCCGACCUGCACGAAUGG
rnacentral:rRNA from 1 species